UACAGAGGGGGCAAGCGUUAUUCGGAAUUAUUGGGCGUAAAGGGCGCGUAGGCGGCCUGGCAAGUGGAAGGUGAAAUCCCUCGGCUUAACCGAGGAACUGCCCUCCAAACUGCUUGGCUUGAGACCGGGAGAGGUGAGUGGAAUUCCCAGUGUAGCGGUGAAAUGGCGUAGAUAUUGGGAGGAACACCAGUGGCGAAGGCGGCUCACUGGACCGGUACUGACGCUGAGGCGCGAAAGCGUGGGGAGCAAACGGGG
rnacentral:rRNA from 1 species